UAUAUCACUUUAUUUCAUAUCGGUUGAGAAUAAGAUUCUCUUAUUGGAUAAAAAGGGGUCACAUGGCAUUCAUUAUUCUUCAGUAAUAAAUUCCAUCGGUCAUUAACAGAAAAAACAGACCAGAAAACCGGUCGUUAACGAACUUUUACAUGAUAAUGACCGGUGGGGCGUGGUUUCCGUCUGAUAAGGACCGUUGGGGCGUGG
rnacentral:lncRNA from 1 species